rnacentral:rRNA from 1 species
GACGAACGCUGGCGGCGUGCUUAACACAUGCAAGUCGAACGGAAAGGCCCUGCUUUUGUGGUGUUCUCUAGUGGCGAACGGGUGAGUAACACGUGAGUAACCUGCCCUUGACUUUGGUAUAACUUCAGGAAACUGGGGCUAAUACCGUAUAGGAUCUCCUGCUGCAUGGUAGGGGUUGGAAAGUUUCGGCGUUUGGGGUUGGACUCGCGGCUUAUCAGCUUGUUGGUUGGCUAGUUGCUUACCAAGGCUUUGACGGGUAGCCGGCAUGAGAGGGUGACCGGCCACAUUGGGACUGAGAUACGGAGCAGACUGCUACGGGAGGCAGCAGUGGGGAAUAUUGCACAAUGGGCGGAAGCCUGAGGAAGCAACGCCGCGUGCGGGAUGACGGCCUUCGGGUUGUAAAACGCUUUAGCCUGUGACGAAGCGUGAGUGACGGUAAUGAGUAAAGAAGCACCGGCUAACUACGUG